GCCCGGUUGGCGCAAUGGUAGCGCAACAGGUUUCUAUUGUUGAUAGCGCCCUGUAGGCUGUGGGUUCGAGUCCCACAUCGGGCU
rnacentral:tRNA from 1 species